rnacentral:rRNA from 1 species
UACGGAGGGGGCUAGCGUUGUUCGGAAUUACUGGGCGUAAAGCGCACGUAGGCGGAUAUUUAAGUCAGGGGUGAAAUCCCGGGGCUCAACCCCGGAACUGCCUUUGAUACUGAGUGUCUGGAGGUCGAGAGAGGCGAGUGGAAUUCCGAGUGUAGAGGUGAAAUUCGUAGAUAUUCGGAGGAACACCAGUGGCGAAGGGCGGGUUGCUGGGCCGUACGACUG